ACGAACGCUGGCGGCGUGCCUAACACAUGCAAGUCGAACGGAUUUUAUUAGUGAAAGUUUUCGGAUGGAAGCUAAUAAGGUUAGUGGCGGACGGGUGAGUAACGCGUGGGUAACCUGCCUAUGAGUGGGGGAUAACACCGGGAAACUGGUGCUAAUACCGCAUAAAAUCUUUAGAUGGCAUCAUCUGAAGAUCAAAGGAGAAAUCCGCUCAUGGAUGGACCCGCGUCUGAUUAGCUAGUUGGUGGUGUAAAGGCUUACCAAGGCGACGAUCAGUAGCCGGCCUGAGAGGGUGACCGGCCACACUGGGACUGAGACACGGCCCAGACUCCUACGGGAGGCAGCAGUGGGGAAUCUUCCGCAAUGGGCGAAAGCCUGACGGAGCAACGCCGCGUGAAUGACGAAGGCCUUCGGGUCGUAAAAUUCUGUCUUAAGGGACGAAAAAAAUGACGGUACCUCAGGAGGAAGCCUCGGCUAACUACGU
rnacentral:rRNA from 1 species